UAUUUUCAAAAAUAAAUGGACAUUUGAUUAUAACAGUUCUUAUUUAAGUACCUUAAACAAGGAAGAUGUGGCUUGUUCGUUUAUAAAAGUAGUACUGAGAAACAUCAACUGAAGUACAUCCAGAGUGAACGGUUUUCCCUAAAUGGUGUGGUAGGUACAUAAAUUUUAGAGAAAUGAAAGUAAGAAAACUUUGAAUUAUCCUUAGUUAUUAACAAGAAGACUAAUGAGAUAAAGUCAAAAAUUUUAAGAAAUGGAUUUUCAGGUCCUUUCUCUCUGACCUUAUCCUUGUGGUUGUUUAGUUAAAAAAAAAAUGCAUAUAAACCUUAUGGGGCAGGCCUAGUUAUAGGAUUAUAGCUUGUGUUAGGUGAUUUGGGGAGGAUUUAAAGUAGCAGCAAUUUGCUCAGGAAGUAGGAGUAAUUCUGUGAUUGGGUUUCUUUAUGAACCUUACCUAGGAGGUAGGAAGAAUUAAUUGGGGCUAAGGUUAUAAUAAUAAAGCAAAAACAGUUCCUUAUAUUAGCCAGAAAAUGGGAAUAGUUGAUCAUUUUUGUGGUUUGGAGAGUGCUGUGUUUGUCUUGGUGCAGAUGUAAUUACUAAAUUGCCUUAUUUUUGUCUUGCUCUCUCAUAUUCACAGAGUGACUUUGUCUAAUGUUAAUGUUUUGUGAUUUUUUUAUGUUUAACAGAAUACCUUGAUCUGCCUGAGUGUCAGUCCAGCUCCUGGCUGCUUUCUCUUUUUUAAGAGGUUGGUUUCCCCAAGAAGCACCAUUAAACAAACAUUCAAGCACAAGUCGUUUCUCUGGAGAUGAAGGAGUAGGAAGAUGAGAUUAAAAAGCCAGGAAAGGAUGCCUAUGAAGCCAGUCACACGAAACAUCCAGAUGUUUUUAAUCCAUGCAAAGUAAUGCAUAGUAAUGAUGGAUAUGCACUGCAUUUUUCAACUGCUUUGCAAAAUGUAGUUAUAUAAAAAAGUUUUAAAAACACAAUUCUUUCAAAAUUUGUUGUUUUUUUUUUUU
rnacentral:lncRNA from 1 species